GACGAACGCUGGCGGCGUGCUUAACACAUGCAAGUCGAACGAAGUGGCGAACGGGUGAGUAAUACGUGGGUAACCUGCCCUCCUUUUUGGGCUAAGCCUUGGAAACGGGGUCUAAUACCGAAUAAAGGGGGAUGGGCUCGCGGCCUAUUGGCUUGUUGGUGGGGCGAUGGCCUACCAAGGAGGUGACGGGUAGCCGGCCUGAGAGGGUGUACUGGCAAAUUUGGAAUGGAAUACGGCCCAGAGUCGUACGGGAGGAAGCAGUGGGGGAUAUUGCGCAAUGGGGGAAAGCCGGAUGCAGGUGCGCAGCGUGGGGUAUGAAGGCUUUGGGGUUGUAAAACUCUUGGGCUAUCGAUCGGGUAGGAGGAGAAGAAGCGCCGGCUAACAACAUGCCAACAGCCGGGGUGAUAA
rnacentral:rRNA from 1 species